rnacentral:rRNA from 1 species
CACGUAGGUGACAAACGUUAUCCGGAAUUACUGGGCGUAAAGGGUCCGUAGGCGGGAUGGCAAGUCUGGUGUGAAAGCCCUCGGCUCAACUGGGGGAAGCCAUUGGAGACUGCCGUUCUUGAAUCCUAGCGAGGUCGGUGGAAUUCCCGGUGUAGUGGUGGAAUGCGUAGAGAUCGGGAGGAACCUCGAAAGCGAAGGCAACCGGCUAGCUGCGGAUUGACGCUGAGGGACGAGAGCGUGGGGAGCGAACAGG